rfam:Schistosoma mattheei strain Denwood, Zambia genome assembly, scaffold: SMTD_contig0002347
AUCCAGCUGACGAGUGCCAAGUAGGACGAAACGCGCGUCCUGGAU